rnacentral:rRNA from 1 species
UUGAACGCUGGCGGCAGGCCUAACACAUGCAAGUCGAGCGGAUGAAGGGAGCUUGCUCCUGGAUUCAGCGGCGGACGGGUGAGUAAUGCCUAGGAAUCUGCCUGGUAGUGGGGGAUAACGUCCGGAAACGGGCGCUAAUACCGCAUACGUCCUGAGGGAGAAAGUGGGGGAUCUUCGGACCUCACGCUAUCAGAUGAGCCUAGGUCGGAUUAGCUAGUUGGUGGGGUAAAGGCCUACCAAGGAGACGAUCCGUAACUGGUCUGAGAGGAUGAUCAGUCACACUGGAACUGAGACACGGUCCAGACUCCUACGGGAGGCAGCAGUGGGGAAUAUUGGACAAUGGGCGAAAGCCUGAUCCAGCCAUGCCGCGUGUGUGAAGAAGGUCUUCGGAUUGUAAAGCACAUUAAGUUGGGAGGAAGGGCAGUAAGUUAAUACCUUGCUGUUUUGACGUUACCAACAGAAUAAGCACCGGCUAACUUCGUG